ensembl:snoRNA Gm24889 predicted gene, 24889
ACUGUACCUAGCAAUAUUACAAAUAUGACUCCUAUGUCACCUGUAUAUCAGUUGGUGGCAAAGAGGAGAGAGGCUAUGUUUAAGCUCAAUGGUCUGACUUUGAGUAUCUGAAUGAUUAGUAGCCUAAUGUU